rnacentral:rRNA from 1 species
AGUGAACGCUGGCGGUAGGCCUAACACAUGCAAGUCGAAUGGUAGCACAGUAAGAGUUUGCUCUUACGGGUGGCGAGUGGCGGACGGGUGAGGUAUACAUCGGAAUCUACUUUUUCGUGGGGGAUAACGUAGGGAAACUUACGCUAAUACCGCAUACGACCUACGGGUGAAAGCAGGGGAUCCUCGGACCUUGCGCGAUUGUAUGAGCCGAUGUCGGAUUAGCUAGUUGGCGGGGUAAAGGCCCACCAAGGCGACGAUCCGUAGCUGGUCUGAGAGGAUGAUCAGCCACACUGGAACUGAGACACGGUCCAGACUCCUACGGGAGGCAGCAGUGGGGAAUAUUGGACAAUGGGCGCAAGCCUGAUCCAGCUAUACCGCGUGGGUGAAGAAGGCCUUCGGGUUGUAAAGCCCUUUUGUUGGGAAAGAAAGGCAGCAGGUUAAUACCCCGCUGUUCUGACGGUACCCGAAGAAUAAGCACCGGCUAACUUCGUG